GAGCGGCGGACGGGUGAGUAAUGUCUGGGAAACUGCCUGAUGGAGGGGGAUAACUACUGGAAACGGUAGCUAAUACCGCAUAACGUCGCAAGACCAAAGUGGGGGACCUUCGGGCCUCAUGCCAUCAGAUGUGCCCAGAUGGGAUUAGCUAGUAGGUGGGGUAACGGCUCACCUAGGCGACGAUCCCUAGCUGGUCUGAGAGGAUGACCAGCCACACUGGAACUGAGACACGGUCCAGACUCCUACGGGAGGCAGCAGUGGGGAAUAUUGCACAAUGGGCGCAAGCCUGAUGCAGCCAUGCCGCGUGUGUGAAGAAGGCCUUCGGGUUGUAAAGCACUUUCAGCGGGGAGGAAGGCGGUGAGGUUAAUAACCUUGUCGAUUGACGUUACCCGCAGAAGAAGCACCGGCUAACUCCGUGCCAGCAGCCGCGGUAAUACGGAGGGUGCAAGCGUUAAUCGGAAUUACUGGGCGUAAAGCGCACGCAGGCGGUCUGUCAAGUCGGAUGUGAAAUCCCCGGGCUCAACCUGGGAACUGCAUUCG
rnacentral:rRNA from 1 species